rnacentral:rRNA from 1 species
GACGAACGCUGGCGGCGUGCUUAACACAUGCAAGUCGAACGGAAAGGCCCCUUUGGGGGUACUCGAGUGGCGAACGGGUGAGUAACACGUGAGUAACCUGCCCUUGACUUCGGGAUAACUUCAGGAAACUGGGGCUAAUACCGGAUAGGAAUCCUUGCUGCAUGGUGGGGGUUGGAAAGCUUCGGCGGUUUUGGAUGGACUCGCGGCUUAUCAGCUUGUUGGUGGGGUAGUGGCUUACCAAGGCUUUGACGGGUAGCCGGCCUGAGAGGGCGACCGGCCACAUUGGGACUGGGAUACGGCCCAGACUCCUACGGGAGGCAGCAGGGGGGAAUAUUGCACAAUGGGCGGAAGCCUGAUGCAGCAACGCCGCGUGCGGGAUUACGGCCUUCGGGUUGGAAACCGCUUUCAGCAGGGGCGAAGCUUGUGGUGACGGUACCUGCAGAAGAAGCACCGGCUAACUACGUG